GCCUUAGUAGUAUAACGAAUACACUGGUCUUGUAAACCAGAAAUGGGAACUUCCAUCCCCCUAAGACA
rnacentral:tRNA from 1 species